rnacentral:tRNA from 1 species
GCGGGCGUAGCUCAAGGGUCAGAGCGGCUUCCUUAUAAGAGGCUGACCUGGGUUCGAGUCCCAGCGUCCGCACCA